rnacentral:tRNA from 1 species
CCCCGGUAUCUUAUAAAGAAUAUGAGAUUGCAGGUCUUAAGGAGGGUGUAUGCCCGUGGGG